UUGAGAGAGGAAAUGAAUGUGCUGAAAACCUUCCAGAAGCCACAUGUUUGCUCUGCUGACUCUGUUGCAGGUGGGGCAGGAGGAGGCUAUGAGGAGCCGAGUGUCGAAAGGGCCUGUGCCCAGUCAGUACUCAGUCCAUUGUGGGCUUUGAAGUGGUUACUGCUGGGGUGGGUCAUCUUUGCUGUUCGUGUGUCCUUGUCCCUUCAGUAGAACGUUGUCCCACCAGGACCUGUGACCACAGGGGCUGACAUUACCUGGACCUUAUUUGUCUCUAGGACCGUGGCCAGUGAAGGCUUUAUGUGGCCAGGUUAGCCUAGCCUUAGCCCCCACCUUUUGAGUGUUUAUUUGUUGUUUCUUUGUUUCUAUAGAGGUUGUUGCCUUGAUUUGUGUAUCAUUCUCCUCCUGUUGUCCCCCAUCUCUGACAGCUGGAGGAGUCGUUUUGCCUGUCAUUGUCCCCACAAAGCCCAAGGCUGUGUAUCUGCACAUAGGAGACUCUGUGGUAUCCAGAGAUGAAUUUUCAGAUUCAUCCAGCUCUUGCCCUCCUUCUAGGGUUUGAUUGUUCUUUCCAUACUUCCCCGAGCCUCCUCAAAGGAACCAGAUUCUGGUAUUAGCAGAAAGGAGGGAAACCAUAAUUUCUCAUCUUAGAGGCACUGGGGAUUGAACUCAGGACAUCAUACACGCCAGGCAUACACUCCACCUUUGAGCUAUAUCCCCCACCCAGCCUCAUAUUAUUUUGGGAAGGCCACAGAGCCAGGCUUGAGGCUGCAUGGGAACAGAAUCCACAAUAUCCACCCUAGGCUGGGUCCCACAUAGGAACAUUUGUCCCUGCUGCUGGGCACAGAUGUCACUGCUCACACCAGAGAACCCCUCAGGCUGGACAUGGACCCUGUGGCUAGGACAGCUGUCACUACGGCUCCUGACAGCUGGAUGCUGUGUAGCUCCCGUUCGUACUGCCCUCGCCGAAUGCAUUAUGCACAGUUCCAGCCUCUCUGUGUCACCACGUCCUGAGAAGAAUCUGACCUGCAUGGUGGAGCCUGAGCUUCCUGCUCUGUCCACCUGCAAGAAUGUUUCGGAAAAUGGACUUUCCUCUUUUACGGAAGGAAGCGGUCUCUGCCUCCUACCAAGACUCUGUUCAUAUGGCAUUCUCCUAAUCUAGGAAGAGAGCUCAGGUUCAGGGGACGAAGGAUGGAAAAAGAAGGUCAAAUUUCAAUUCUUACAGCAAAGAUCUGUGACUAGCCCUUGAUCUGGUACACUGUAGGCACGCGGGUUUGGCUGAAAGAACAAGUGACUAAUAAAUGACACCCAAGGUAGAGGCUUACUUGCUUACUCUUACUCUGAAUUUCUAGGAAUCAAAGCCCAAACAGGCCCCUGGGAGGUGGAGAGUGUGAAAUGAUCCCCCCAAGUAAUGCAUAGGAGCAGCUGGUGGAUUGACUGGCUGGUCAGGAACUUCAGUAAAAUAAAGUUGGAAAACAGGUGAGGGA